CCCCCUCGAACCCUGCUGGGGGCGCUGUUGGGCGGCUGCGGUGUGGACGCCCGCUCUGCCUCCAGCAGAGAGCAGUGCGCGGUGGUUGGAUGUGAACGCCGCCGACCUGUCUCGACUUCCAGAUCGAAGAUGGCGGUCUCGGUGUUUCCCGGCGUGCGGCUCCUCUCCAUCGGAGACGCGAAUGGAGACAUACAGCGACACUCAGAGCAGCAGCCGCUGCGGCUAGAAGUGAAAACCACACAAGACGCUGCUCUCAUCAAUCUCUCCAAUGGAGAGGAGGCGAGUGUGUUCAAGUGUUCCGUUUCCAGGGAGACCGAGUGCAGCCGCGUGGGGAAGCAGUCGUUCAUCAUCACGCUGGGCUGCAACAGCGUCCUGCUGCAGUUCUCCUCACCGGCAGACUUUCAGUCUUUUUAUAAUCUCCUGAAGAACUGUCGUGGACAUCUUAGUGAGCACUCAGUCUUCAGCGACAGAACAGAGGAGUCCUCCGCUGUACAGUACUUCCAGUUUUAUGGCUACCUCUCCCAGCAACAGAACAUGAUGCAGGACUACGUUCGGACAGGGACUUAUCAGCGGGCUAUUCUCCAAAACCACAAUGACUUCAAGGACAAAGUGGUGCUGGAUGUUGGUUGUGGCUCGGGGAUCCUCUCUUUCUUUGCAGCUCAAGCUGGAGCCAGGAAGGUCUAUGCUGUGGAGGCCAGCACCAUGGCACAGCAUGCUGAGGUGUUGGUGAACAGUAACCGUUUAGGCGAGCGUGUGGUCGUCAUCCCGGGGAAGGUGGAGGAGGUGACGCUGCCCGAGCAGGUUGACAUCAUCAUCUCAGAGCCAAUGGGCUACAUGUUGUUCAAUGAGCGAAUGCUGGAGAGCUACCUGCAUGCCAAGAAGUUCCUCAAACCCAAUGGUAAAAUGUUCCCCACCAUUGGUGACGUCCACCUGGCUCCCUUCACAGACGAGCAGCUCUACAUGGAGCAAUUCACCAAGGCCAACUUCUGGUACCAGCCCUCGUUUCAUGGCGUAGACCUCUCUGCCCUGCGGGGGGCAGCUGUGGAUGAGUACUUCCGCCAGCCAAUAGUUGACACAUUCGAUAUCCGUAUUCUGAUGGCCAAAUCGGUCAAAUACACAGUGAACUUCCUGGAGGCCAAAGAAGAUGAUCUUUACAGGAUAGAGAUUCCCUUUAAGUUCCACAUGAUGCACUCUGGCCUGGUACACGGCCUAGCUUUCUGGUUUGAUGUGGCAUUCAUGGGAUCAAUGGUGACAGUAUGGCUGUCCACAGCACCCACAGAGCCUCUCACCCACUGGUACCAGGUGCGCUGUCUGCUGCAGUCUCCCCUCUUCACCAAGGCUGGGGAUACACUAUCUGGAACUGCAAUGCUGGUGGCCAACAAGAGGCAAAGCUACGACAUCAGUAUUGUUGCCCAGGUGGACCAGACAGGAUCAAAGUCCAGCAACCUCCUGGACUUGAAGAACCCCUUUUUCAGGUACACAGGCACCACCCCCAACCCUCCUCCUGGCUCACACUACACUUCCCCAUCUGAAAAUAUGUGGAACACAGGUGGAGCCUACAGCAUGAAUCAGGGGAUGGCUGUAUCAGGGAUGCCUGCAGCUUAUGACCUCAGCACAGUCAUUGGCAGCGGCCCGGCAGUGUCUCACAACAACCUCAUCCCCUUAGCUGAAAAUUUCCAGCAGCUUUCACAUGUACACUACCCAAAAAUGUGACAGUCAGUAGCUGGACUGCCACUUGAACACAGGGAUUGUAAACCACACCCACUCCAGGAUGGGCUCCAUCAUGAGCACAGGGAUUGUGCAGGGAGCCACAACAGGACAGUCGGGCCCGAGCAGCAGUGGUUCUUACUAUCCCGUCACCAACCAGUUCACAAUGGGCGGCGCUGCCAUCUCCAUGGCCUCACCUAUGGUCAUCCCCAGCAACACCAUGCAUUACGGCAGUUAAGACAAGGACUUCGCAAAAAACCUCUUCAGCCUCCCCACCCCCCCGCAUGACAAGAGAUUCCCAACCCCUCCCAGUGGAGCUCCUCAGUCUGCCACCCCCUCCACCCUUCAACCCUGACUGAUCCUCCAUUCGCAGCCAAAACCAAUAUACCAAAACCAGUGCUGUGCUGGCACUGCUCCCUCCCCUUGUUCGUCAAUCUACUCCGUUCAGUCCAUCACAAUAUGAACUAUAUAAACAGUCAAACACUCGUAUCCGUCCAGACUCUUGUCUUGCUAACACCCGAAACCUCCUCUACCCUUUCUCCUCCUGGGACUGCAACACAUGCACAGCCGAGAUGCACAGCCGUUAUCACUUAUCCCCCUCCUGGGUUUUCACCCUCCUUACUGUCUCAAUCCCUCCAACCCCCUUAUCUUUUUUUAAAUGUCAAGAUGAUCCCAGAGUGUUUCCCCCAAUCUACCUGUUGCCAGAUACCAGCAUCAGUCCUUUCCCACAAUUCUCCUCACCUCUGUACCACAUCGUCACUGAAGUGUUGCAUUAGUGUAGUAGGACACUAUUAUCAUCAUCAUCAACACUCUGCUCUGAGCUGCCAUCUUGGCUUUUCAUAUCGGAUACAAAUACAUGUCCAUAGUCUUUGUGCACAAGAGACUGACUCAUGCCAGACAAGUGUCAGAUCACACAAAACCCGUUUCCCUUGUUUUCUCAGUGUAUAUGACUCAUUCUGUCGGCAGAGGCUGAUAUAUCGUAAAACUGCAGCUUAUCUACAUUGGCACCGUUAGGAGGAUGUAGAAAAUAUGCUUUUUCUUGUUACUCAGACAAACCAACCAUUCGAGUUCUUCUCAUAACCCUGUGUGUUUGUACUUGGCAGCAGUGAUGUUGUUGCUUUACACCAAGGUUCACAUAUACAUCAAGUUUUGGGAGAACGCGGGUCACCUUCCAUGCCUAGUGAUGAGAGAUGAGCAUCACAUUUAGCUGUGUCUGAAGUCGAAAGUCAUUGAGAUGAAACAGGCUGUAAAACCUUUCUCUUAACGCUAUGAAUGACACCUGCUGACAUUGUUAAUAACAAAUAUAGAUUAGCGCAGCUUUAAGUAUACUGUAAUGUGAAUACCCUAAAACCCUAAAGCUUUUAAAGUUUAUAUCUUUAAAAUGUGAACCUUUAAAAAAAAAAAAGACGCUGUUUUCGGGCCAGUUGUGUUGUUCUUAGCCAACAAUCGGCUGGGUCCAGGGUCCGCAACGUAAGAGUCCUGUCCUCAUACAUGCUGUGGGGUUGCCAGGUUUGAAUAGCAUUUCAAAGUUAACUAAAAGCCAGGUGACACUUUUUAUUCUUACAACCAAUUGAAAAAAGGGACUUUCUGGAAGUUGGAAUUUGUCUAGUCUGACAGAGCGAGUCUUUUAGCCCCCUGACUGGUGUGUAUUAGUCUCGCACAAUGAACUGUGUUACACUGUCAGUGUCUUCUUAAAAGCAUUCUUAGUGUCGCCCUUAGUUUUACACAAAGCGACAGUAGUAGUUUGGCGUAGUGUAAAUGAGACUUUGCGUGGAAGAUGACCAAUAGGAAAGUCUCCCAAAAACUUGCCUUUCCUGCUAGAACAGUGUAGUCCAGGAAACCUGAAACAAGCCUCCUGCCGCUCCCAUCAUCCGCCCUCUUAGUACCUCUUCUUUUUCCUUUGGCCAAGAGGACACUGCAGCAGCUCCUCCCCAGCCAGUCGUUUGUCGAAGCAGGUUACUCCAGCAGUUGGACGUGGGAGAUUUGGAGAACGAGCCUGUAAGGACCAAUUACCCAGGCGGCAGCCCACUGGCUGCUGGAGUGAGAGAAGCUGUGCUGGAUUUGGCAGCGUCCUAGUUUACAUCCUUGUUUCCUUCCCCUCUGCUUCCUCCUUGAGACUGUGAGACUGUCGAAAAGAGACUUCAUUGUUGAGGCAUGGGACACAGGGCCUGUCCAUCAUCUCCCUCCUCAUCGGUUCACUAUGUAUGACCGCCAGCAUAUCAUUACCCCGAGACACCCAUGUCCCCUUUUAAUAGUCAAGGAGAGAAAGACUGACACAUCUAUGAAUUGCUUCCAGUGUCUACUACUGGACUUUGUUCAUUUGGAAUUUAUGAGUUGGCAAGUUUUAAGAGAGCUGAGAAAAAAAAAAGUCUCUUUGUAGAAUUAAUCUUUUUUGUUGUCUUUAUUUUGUUAAUUUUUUCUGUCACAAAACCAACAAUUAAAAAAAGAGAGCAAAUUAAAUGUGGUGGAGAUAUUCCAAGCCCCAUUCUGGAAUCA